AAGAACACCAACCAGCCGAGAAAACUGGAAUGAAGAGGAGAAGCUGUGAUGCAGGAACAUCUAGUGUAAAACAGAGAGCGGCCAGAUGUGGAUCCCUGUGUUGUCCCACAAGUGGCUGGAAUCUCAAGUCUUUCGAAGUCUUCCGCCUGUCUUUGCUUUCCAACCCCACCGGUCCUCCAGAGCGCAGCACGUGUAUGAACACCAACCAGCCGAGAAAACUGGAACAAAGAGGAGAAGCUCUGAUGCAGGAA